CAGCCGCGGUAAUACGGAGGAUCCGAGCGUUAUCCGGAUUUAUUGGGUUUAAAGGGAGCGUAGACGGCAAAGCAAGUCUGAAGUGAAAGCCCGGGGCUCAACCCCGGGACUGCUUUGGAAACUGUUCUGCUAGAGUGCUGGAGAGGUAAGCGGAAUUCCUAGUGUAGCGGUGAAAUGCGUAGAUAUUAGGAGGAACACCAGUGGCGAAGGCGGCUUACUGGACAGUAACUGACGUUGAGGCUCGAAAGCGUGGGGAGCAAACAG
rnacentral:rRNA from 1 species